UUUUGAAAGCUUGGAAUUUAUGCGUUGAUCGAUUUAGAGAGAUUUGAUCGAAUGAUCAACUGAUUGAAUUGGUUUCAGGUAUUAUUUAGUUCAAAUUCAGAAUGCAUCUAUUGCAUGGUCGAUAGAUUGAAUUCCUUUUAGACUUCUUGUAGUCUUCGAUCAAUUGAACUUGUCAGACCUACGUAUUCGGUGCCUGUAUAAUAGUAUUGUUGUGUUUUUAUGUAGGAUCUCAAUGAAAGCCAGUAGUGUUUGGGAAAUGUCAUAGUGCAAUCGGGAUCUUGUGGUAGGCAGCAUUCGAUUCGUUUUGGUUUGUGCUUAUAUUUGUUUUUUUUUCACCAUCAUCCCAAUUUUUACCGCUGUGUUUAUUCUUCCUUCAUCUAUAUUUCUCUUUUCCACUAUUUGUUCUGAAAAUUCAUGGAUCUUCUUACACUGAAUAUUAGGUGAGGAUUGCUAUUCCUUUACAAUUCAUUACAAAUGGCUUAUUCUAUUUGUACAGAUAUAGUGGGGGAGCAUGUUAAUCCUAGUUUGUCUAUUAGUUCUCAGUUCUUGUCUUCAGCGUGGGGCAGAGCAGUUUGGUAGCUCACAAGGCUCCUAACCUUGAUGUCAUGGGUUCAAAUCCCGUCUCCGCAGCUUUAAUUUUAUUCUUGGUUAUUUUUUUUUUUUUUUUUUAUAAUAAUAAAUUUGUUAUGCUGGUUGUCCGUUAUGUUUUGCUUUUAGUCACUUGAAGAUUGGCUUGGUGAAAGUUAAAGAGCCUUUUGCGUGGCUGGACUUCUUACUUGUCAUUGGUCUGUACAUCCUGUGAUUAGUUGAAAACAGAAGAUAGUAUCUAAUUCUCUGUUUUUGUUUUUCAUUCUUGGCUUUUGCUUGACCUCUCUCUUUGGUGUUUACAAACGCUUGUUAUUUUACUUUAUUUGUAACUGUUUUUGAGAGCUGUCCAUUGGCAGCAUUCGAUUCGUUUUGGUUUGUGAUUAUAUUUGGUAUUAUUUCACAAUCAUCCCAAUUUUUACCGCUGUGGUUAUUCUUCAUUACAAAUGGCUUAUUGUAUUUGCACAGAUAUAGUGAUGGAGCAUAUUAAAUCCUUGUUUGUCUAUUAGUUCUCAGUUCUUGUCUUCAGCAUGGGGCAGAGCAGUUUGGUAGCUAACAAGGCUCCUAACCUUGAUGUCAUGGUUCAAAUCCCAUCUUCACAACUUUAUUAAUAAAUUUGUUAUGCUGGUUGUCCGUUACGUUUUUGCUUGUUUGCAGUCACUUGAAGAUUGGCUUGGUGAAAGUUACAGAGCCUUUUGCGUGGCUGGACUUCUUACUUGUCAUUGGGCUGUACAUCCUGUGAUUAGUUGAGAACAGACAAUAGUAUAUAAUUCUCUGUUUUUGUUUUUUGUUCUUUGCUUUUGCUUGACCUCUCUCUUUGGUGUUUACAAAUGCUUGUUAUUUUGCUUUAUUUGUUGUUUUUGACAGCGGUCUAUUGGAUCAGCUAAGAGAACCUUUACAUGUUUAGAGUGCAGGAAAUGAUCGAUGUUUCAUAAGUUUGUUUUAGGAUAUUGAGUCUUUUCUAUAUCUUACCCAAAACCUGAGUUGUAAUGUAUCAAAGUGCCUUGAGUUGUUUAUGGACAUUUAUUUUGAAUAUGGCAGACAAAAAAUUGAGAUCAUCAUGGUGGAAUAUUUGCAUCUUCAAUGGCACAUUUAUGUAUCAGGUAAAUGGACUUCAGUAAAAAUCAUAGUUUGACCUUUGAUGUUGGUUUGGCUUUUAACUAUUUUGGUUCUAAACUUUAAGUUUUAGAUUUAGAUUAUUUUCCAAAGCUUGGAAGUUAUGUGUUGUUCGAUCCAGAGAGCUUUGAUCAAAUGAUCAACCGAUUGAAUUGGUUUCAGGUGAUAUUUAGGUCAAAGUCAUCGAUUGCACGGUGGAUAGGGUGAAUUCUUUUUAGACUUCUUGUAGUCUUUGAAUUAUCGAACUUGUCGGACCUGCAUGUCUGGUGCCUGUAUAACAGUAGUGGCGUGUUUUUAUGUAGGAUCUCAAUGAAGGCCAGUAGUGUUCCGGAAAUGUCAUAGUGCAGUUGGGACCUUGUGGUUGGCAGCAUUCAAUUUGUCUUGGUUUGUGAGUAUUUACAUUUUGAAAGUUGUGUAACUGUAUAUUUGGAAUUAUUUCACCAUCUUCCCAAUUUUUACAGCUGUGUUUAUUCUUCCUUCAUCUAUAUUUCUCUUUUCCACCAUUUGUUCUGAAAAUUAAUUGAUCUCUCAAAACCUUACCCAAAACCUUUGUUGUAAUGUAUCAAAGUGCCUUGAGUUGUUUAUGGACAUUUUUGAAGACAUGGUGGACAAAAAAUGAGAAGAUUCAUUGCGGGAUAUUUAUUAUUUGCAUCCUGAAUCGCACAAUGGGGUAUCAGGUAAAUGGACUUUAGUAAACAACUUAGUUUGACCUUUGAUCUUGGUUUGGCUCAUUAACUGUUUUUAUUCAAAACAUUAAGUUUUAGAUUAUUUUGAAAGGCUUGCAAAUUAUGCUUUGAUCGAUCCAGAUAGCUUUGAUAGAUACAGAUUUCUUUGGUUGAAUGAUCAGCCGAUUGAGUUGGUUUCAGGUAAUAUUUAGUACAAAGUCAGAAUGCAUCGAUUGCAUGGUCGAUAGAUUUGAAUGCCUGUGAGAAUGCCUGAUCUCAUUUGCUCUGAAAAUUCAUGGAUCUUUCUUACACUGAAUAUUAGGUGAGGAUUGCUUUUCUUUUACAAUUCAUUACAAAUGGCUUAUUGUAUUUGUACAGAUAUAGUGGGGGAGCAUAUUAAAUCCUUGUUUGUCUAUUAGUUCUCAGUUCUUGUCUUCAGUGUGGGGCAGAGCAGUUUGGUAGUUAACAAGGCUCCUAACCUUGAUGUCAUCAUGGGUUCAAAUCCUGUCUCCGCAGCUUUAUUUUUAUUCUUGGUUUUUAUUUAUUUUUUAUUUUAAAACAUAUGUGAAUAAGUUUGUUAUGUUGGUUGUCCGUUACUUUUUUGCAGUAACUUGAAGAUUGGCUUGGUGAAAGUUAAAGAGCCUUUUGCGUGGCUGGACUUCUUACUUGUCAUUGGACUGUACAUCCUGUGAUUAGUUGAAAACAGAAGAUAGUAUCUAAUUCUCUGUUUUUGUUUUUUGUUCUUGGCUUUUGCUUGACCUCUCUUUGGUGUUUUCAAACGCUUGUUAUUUUGCUUUAUUUGUAGUUGGUUUUGAGAGCGGUCUAUUGGAAGAGCCAAGAGAACCUUUACCUGUUUAGACUGCAGGAAAUGAUCGAUGUUUCCAUAAGUUUGUUUUAGGAUAUUGUCUCAUUUGCAUACCUUACCCAAAACCUGAUUUGUAAUGUAUCAAAGUGCCUUGAGUUGUUUAUGGACAUUUAUUUUGAAGACAUGGCAGACAAAAAAUUGAGAUCAUCAUGGUGGAAUAUUUGCAUCCUCAAUCGCAGAGUUAUGCAUCAGGUAAAUGGACUUCAGUAAAAACCUUAGUUUGACCUUUGAUCUUGGUUUGGCUCUUAACCUAUUUCUGUUCUAAACUUUAAGUUAUAGAUUUAGAUUAUUUUCGAAAGCUUGGAAGUUAUGAAUUGUUCGAUCCAGAGAGCUUUGAUCGAAUGAUCAACCGAUUGAAUUGGUUUCAGGUGAUAUUUAGGUCAAAGUCAGAAUGCAUCUAUUGCAUGGUGGUUAGGGUGAAUUCCUUUUAGACUUCUUGUAGUCUUCUAUUAAUCGAACUUGUCGGACCUACUUGUCUGGUGCCUGUAUAACAGUAGUGGCGUGUUUUUAUGUAGGAUCUCAAUGAAGGCCACUAGUGUUCAGGAAAUGUCAUAGUGCAGUCGGGACCUUGUGGUAGGCAGCAUUUGAUUCGUCUUGGUUUGUGCUUAUAUUUGGUAUUAUUUCACCAUCAUCCCAAUUUUUACCGCUGUGUUUUUUCUUCCUUCAUCUAUAUUUCUCUUUUCCACCAUUUGUUCUGAAAAAUCAUGGAUCUUUCUUCCACUGAAUAUUAGGUGAGGGUUGCUAUUCCUUUACAAUUCAUUACUAUUGGCAUAUUCUAUUUGUACCGAUAUAGUGGGGAAGCAUAUUAUAUCAUUGUUUGUCUAUUAGUUUCAGUUCUUGUCUUCAGCGUGGGGCAGAGCAAUUUGGUUGCUCACAAGGCUCCUAACCUUGACGUCUUGGGUUCAAAUCCCGUCUCCGCAGCUUUUUUUUUUUUUCUUUAUUUUUUUUCCAACAUGUUUGAAUAAGUUUGUUAUGCUGGUUGCCCGUUACUUUUUUUCUUGUUUGCAGUCACUUGAAGAUUGGCUUGAUGAAAGUUUUGGGUGGCUGGACUUCUUACUUGUCAUUGGACUGUACAUCCUGUAAUUAGUUGAAAACAGAAGAUGUUGAUUUUGAGAGCGGUCUAUUGGAAGAGCUAAGAGAACCUUUACCUGGUUAGACUGCAGGAAAUGAUUGAUGUUUCUGUAAGUUUGUUUUAGGAUAUUGAGUAAUUUUUAUAUCUUUCCCAAAACCUGAGUUGUAAUGUAUUAAAGUGCCUUGAGAUGUUUAUGAACAUUUAUUUUGAAGACAUGGCAGACAAAAAAUUGAGAUUGUUGUGGUGGAAUAUUUGCAUCCUCAAUUGCACAAUUAUAUAUCAGGUAAAUGGACUUCAGUAAAAACCUUAGUUUGACCUUUGAUCUUUGU